UUAUCAUCAUGAUACCUAACUGCUGUCGUUGAAAUGUAAGAUGAAACUAACAUAAGGGUAUUUUAAUGUGAUCAUAUAUACCAGUUUCCAUAAUAAAGGAUUUAUUCCUACAAGUCAGCCGAUAUAAGCCAUCCAUUUGUUCAAAGGAGCUUGAGAAUACGGGAAAAUAUUCCUGAUUCAAUCAAAUUCCGGGACCCGAAAACUCUAGAGUUAUUAUUGGAAAAUCUCUUUAUCUAGAACGAGUUUCAGUUAUUGUGGCUGUUGGCCCGUGGCGGUUGUUGAUCUGGUCUUUUUAUUGUCCAUAUUUUCUCAAGAGUAACAAGGGCAAGAAUAUUACAUCAUUUGGAGGUAUUAGCGAAUAAUGUUUACAAUGGAUAACUCAAAAAUAUAGUCAAUAAAAUGUC